AGAGAAAGCCUGGCUUCCUUAACCAAUUGCAAUCAAAUAAUCCUGAAGCUGCCUAUGACCUGCAAGCCCCUUGCUUCAAGAGCUUCCACCUUUUUGGGCCAAACCAAGUUCCAUGAUGGAAAAUCUAAUGGCCACUUUCCAUUUACCACGUCCAAGGAGCAGUCCAGCCUUCCCUCCAUUUCCACAAUGAUCCCAAGUGUUUCACCAUUUGCUCCUCGAAGAACAUCUGGAUUUGUUUCUGGCUUUUGGCUAUGAGGAAUAAGCCUGCUGAGAAUAUUCAGCUCCAGGAUUUUGUGUGAAUGUAAGUGCUUUAGGGGUGGGGCGGGACCCUGCAGGCCAUCCCUCGGUUGGAUGAUUCUCUGGAGGGACCCAGAGAACUCCACCAAGCUGACCUAAGCCCCUGAAAGUCAAACAGAUACCAUAUGGCCCAAUGCCUGCAGCACAGCUCACUUGAUGGAAUAAACUGCCCAAGAAAAAUGGGGGUAAGUGAUUACAUUAUCAGAGGCAUCCCAGGUGAAUCCUGGAGACGUGGACGGUACCUGUAGUCAUGAAGCUGACAGCUGGAAGAAGCCUGUCUGGUUCAACCCCUGUCUGGCAUUUCCUUCCUUCUCCAUCCUCACUUUCUACCCCUCACAGGGACAGAUAAUUUAUAGCUUACCGAGCCAGGCCACUGCACUUUUGGACAACUCUACCAAAUGGAUUUUCUUCAUGCCAUUACAUAACUGCUACCUGCCACCAGAGCCUUAGAAAUGUAUGGUUUUCCAUCAAGCACUCAUGGAACACGUCACUGUGGGCACUUCUAGGGGGGUUCAUGAUGGAUCCUCCAAGAUCAACUAAAAAUUAAAACAAGCCCCAGGUAACAGAACCACUUCAAGUGUUAAAUAAAAUCA